rnacentral:rRNA from 1 species
CCUACGGGUGGCAGCAGUGGGGAAUAUUGCACAAUGGGGGAAACCCUGAUGCAGCAACGCCGCGUGAGCGAUGAAGGCCUUCGGGUCGUAAAGCUCUGUCCUCAAGGAAGAUAAUGACGGUACCUGAGGAAGAAGCCCCGGCUAACUACGUGCCAGCAGCCGCGGUAAUACGUAGGGGGCUAGCGUUAUCCGGAAUUACUGGGUGUAAAGGGAGCGUAGGGGGGAUUCCAAGUCAGGAGUGAAAGGCCAGGGCUCAACCCGAGGACAGCCUUGGAAACUGUGAAUCUGGAGUGCAGGAGAGGUAAGUGGAAUUCCUAGUGUAGCGGUGAAAUGCGUAGAUAUUAGGAGGAACACCAGUUGCGAAGGCGGCUCUCUGGACUGUAACUGACGCUGAGGCUCGAAAGCGUGGGGAGCAAACAGGAUUAGAUACCCUGGUAGUC